rnacentral:tRNA from 1 species
GGGGCCGUAGUCUAGCCUGGCUAGGAUGCACCAGGUUAUGCCCUGGGUCCAACGGCCUGGGGAGCAAUCCCCGCACGGUACGCCGGUGAUCCCGGGUUCAAAUCCCGGCGGCCCCA